rnacentral:rRNA from 1 species
UCGAUUAGAGUUUGAUCAUGGCUCAGGAUGAACGCUAGCGACAGGCCUAACACAUGCAAGUCGAGGGGCAUCGCAGUGUAGCAAUACACCGGCGGCGACCGGCGCACGGGUGAGUAACGCGUAUGCAACCUGCCUGCCACAGGGGGAUAGCCCUAAGAAAUUGGGAUUAAUACCGCAUAAAACAGGGACCCCGCAUGGGGAUAUUUGUUAAAGAUUUAUCGGUGGCAGAUGGGCAUGCGUUCCAUUAGCUUGUUGGUGAGGUAACGGCUCACCAAGGCAACGAUGGAUAGGGGCACUGAGAGGUUUGUCCCCCACACUGGGACUGAGACACGGCCCAGACUCCUACGGGAGGCAGCAGUGAGGAAUAUUGGUCAAUGGGCGGGAGCCUGAACCAGCCAAGUCGCGUGAAGGAAGAAGGGUCUAUGGCUUGUAAACUUCUUUUGUACGGGGGUAAAAAGCGGGAUGUAUCCCGCCUUGCAAGUACCGUACGAAUAAGCAUCGGCUAACUCCGUGCCAGCAGCCGCGGUAAUACGGAGGAUGCAAGCGUUAUCCGGAUUUAUUGGGUUUAAAGGGUGCGUAGGCGGGGCGUUAAGUCAGCGGUGAAAGCUACAGGCUCAACCUGUAAACUGCCGUUGAAACUGGCGCUCUUGAGAAUGGAUGGAGCAGGCGGAAUUAGUGGUGUAGCGGUGAAAUGCUUAGAUAUCACUAGGAACUCCAAUGGCGCAGGCAGCUUGCUAAGG